AGCAGUCGCCGCGGUAAUACGUAGGUCCCGAGCGUUGUCCGGAUUUAUUGGGCGUAAAGCGAGCGCAGGCGGUUAGAUAAGUCUGAAGUUAAAGGCUGUGGCUUAACCAUAGUACGCUUUGGAAACUGUUUAACUUGAGUGCAAGAGGGGAGAGUGGAAUUCCAUGUGUAGCGGUGAAAUGCGUAGAUAUAUGGAGGAACACCGGUGGCGAAAGCGGCUCUCUGGCUUGUAACUGACGCUGAGGCUCGAAAGCGUGGGGAGCAAACAGGAUUAGAUACCCGCGUAGUCCCUGUCUCUUAUACA
rnacentral:rRNA from 1 species